AUUGAACGCUGGCGGCAUGCUUUACACAUGCAAGUCGAACGGUAACAGGUCUUCGGAUGCUGACGAGUGGCGAACGGGUGAGUAAUACAUCGGAACGUGCCUAGUAGUGGGGGAUAACUACUCGAAAGAGUAGCUAAUACCGCAUGAGAUCUACGGAUGAAAGCAGGGGACCUUCGGGCCUUGUGCUACUAGAGCGGCUGAUGGCAGAUUAGGUAGUUGGUGGGGUAAAGGCUCACCAAGCCUGCGAUCUGUAGCUGGUCUGAGAGGACGACCAGCCACACUGGGACUGAGACACGGCCCAGACUCCUACGGGAGGCAGCAGUGGGGAAUUUUGGACAAAGGGCGAAAGCCUGAUCCAGCAAUGCCGCGUGCAGGAUGAAGGCCCUCGGGUUGUAAACUGCUUUUGUACGGAACGAAAAGCCUGGGGCUAAUAUCCCCGGGUCAUGACGGUACCGUAAGAAUAAGCACCGGCUAACUACGUGCCAGCCGCCGCCGUAAAAC
rnacentral:rRNA from 1 species